AGAUACACGGGAAGGAGGCACCUCCGGGACCAGGAGGAGCGUGGGAACCCCCCCCCAGGACCCUGCGACAGAGUCGGCUGCAUCAUGGAAGCAUCUGUCCCCUUGCCUGGGGUCACCCUGCAGCCGGGCCUGCCCUUUCCCCCCAGGGUGACUUUGAGGGGUGACAGGGGUGGGGUGACCUCCUAAGACCCCCCUCAGAAAGAUGCCCCCCAGUCGUGCUGCAUUUUCUCACCAGCUCUGAGACAAGAAGACGCUGCUUUGCCAUCUGAAGUCCUCACCCUCAACACCUAUUUCCCAUGAUUGGCUCUCAAGCUGCCAAGGCUGCUCUCUUAGCUCCACAAAGAGCCCUCAGAGGACCAGGUGGAUGCAACAUGACAACCUGCACGGCUCGUGUUUUCCUCCCGAAAUCAGAUUUAGGCAACCCCUAAAGAAAUGAACAAUUAUUUGCUGUUGCUACGCAAAAAUCUCCUUCACUUCGUGGUG